AUGCCAGGCCCUGCCCUCGGCAGAGGCGGAAGCGGAGUCGGCCUGAGAAGUCUCCCGUCGCUGCAGGCGCCUCAGCCCAGCCGCGUGCCUUGGCCCAUGGCCGCCUACUCUUACCGCCCCGGCCCUGGGGCCGGCCCUGGGCCUGCUGCAGGCGCGGCGCUGCCGGACCAGAGCUUCCUGUGGAACGUUUUCCAGAGGGUCGAUAAAGACAGGAGUGGAGUGAUAUCAGACACCGAGCUUCAGCAAGCUCUCUCCAACGGCACGUGGACUCCCUUUAAUCCAGUGACUGUCAGGUCGAUCAUAUGUAAGUAUCGGCAGACGGACCAGCCUGGGCUGCUUUGUAUCCGACCCGCUUGGGUACCCGCUUGUGUUUCCUUUGUCUGUGGGUCCGUAUCACUUUGCUCCCUUCUGGAAUUCCACUUAGAUGAGCGUCGGCCCUUUCAUCCCUCUCCCCCCGUCUCUGUACCUUUUCACGUCUCUCCGUGUAUGUUUGCUCUAUUCUUGAUUCUGUUUAUUUUUAAUGUACGGUGUAACCUGUCCUUUCAGUUUCUAAUUCUAAAGAUGACAUAUAUUUAAAAUUUCUAAAUUAUUAGUUACUUUCACAUCUUAUCUGGAUGUUUUUGAUAGACAUUGCUUAUUUAUUUUUGUGAUUCCAUUCUUUAUUCAAAUAUUUCAUAUGAUAGUCUUCAGUUUUAAGAACAUGCUUUUUUGAAAAGCGCUAGAUAUUUGUGACGUGGAGCUCCUUGACUGUGUUUGAAGUCCUUGGGAGGGUGGUCUACAGCCAAAUAUUUUUCCUGCUCAAGCCCACACAGAGUGACCGACUUCCUUGAUGCUUCUGUAAUUUUUGCUUGUUUUGUGGGUUCAUGUGUAGCCUUAAUGUGAGGGUCUGCAUCAUUUCUUUGGGUCCAGGGUCUCCCCAGCUGUACAGGUAGCCGGGCUUUUGUUUCUUUUAAGAGACGGGGUGUCCCUGUGUUGCCCAGGCCUAGUCUGGAAUUCCUGGGCUCACACAAUCCUCCUGCCUCAGCCUCCCAAAGAGUGGGGAUUACAGGUGUGCAUCCCCAUGCCCAGACGGUAGCUGGGGUGUGAGCUGCGGCUCCAGGCGCAGGCAGGUGUUCAGGAGAGUCGUGCUGUGUCUCCAUCCCCCGUAGCCGGGUGGAGCUGCAGCUCCAGGGGCAGGCAGGCCUGGGAGGCAGGCGUUCAGGAGAGUCAUGUUUCCAUCCCUACCCGACUUGAUUUCUGGAAGGUUCCCUUUGCUGGGAGGUGCAGCCCCCUUCGGACCUCUUUAAUAUGGAAUCCCAGGUUCAGUUCUGCCUCACAGGGACCACGGCAUUGUGUCUCGAGGUUUCCCAGAGCGGCCUGGGGCUCAUUCCCUCGCCUCCCAUCCAUGCAUGUGUUUUAGACUUGUGAGGAUUCCCUGAGUUCCUUGCGGAGCCCGUGUGUGGUGAGGUGUCUGAGUCCUAGUGUGGGUGUAGCUGGGGGCUUUUCCAGAUGACUGUGCCCUGCUGGUCGUGCAUAUGUUGCCACGUCACACUGAUGGAGGGAGAGAAAACUUGGAAGCGUAGUAGUGGCAGGGCUCAGCCUUUAGUGCUAGAAAAGGUGUUGAUACAUGGGGAGCUACCUCCCCACUGGAGAGGAAUGGCCUGGGAGCCACUCCUCUGCGGAGCCCUUACCCUGGGGUGCAGCUCACCCAGCAUCCUUCCCUGCUGGUGUGUGGUGCGCAGUGGGUCCUGCACGCAACAGCAUCGUCCACACACACUGCACACAUCGUGCAAUGGUCGUAUGAAAAACAGCCCCUGGUCCACACACCACACACGUCGUGGAACGGUGCACGUCGUGGAACGGCUGUGUGAAAAACAGCCACUGGUUGCACACAGGGUUGUGGACUGUUGGGAAGAAACAUCGAUGCUGUUUCUCACAUGAUUUUUCAUCCUGUGGAUUUUCAUUUAAUUGUAACAUAUUUCUGAUCAAACCAGGAGUAGUCUUAUUGCAGUCCUAUAUUAACCUCUGUUCUUGGAAAGAGACCACGUGAUUUAUCAUUUUCUCUGCAGCAGUAAUUCACACUGAAUUUUUCUGUGUUUUUUAGCCAUAUUGCAACUACAUAUAAAGGUAGUUGUAGAUUCUUUUGUAUUUGGACCUGGAGUUAGACUGAAAGCAAAUAGGACAUAGGCGAGGGUCUGUUUCUAAUUAAAGCAGGUUUUCCUGACAGGGCUGUUCAAGCCUCCACCAGUGCUGUGGGCCCUGGAGAGUCAGAGGAUCAGCUCUGGGAAUUAGAUUCGCGUUCUAGGCCGAGACCCAGGAGCCAGGGGAGCUGGGGCCACUUACCUUCCCCGUGCCUCGGAAGCUGAGUGUGAAGCUCUGCUCUUCUUUCCGUCGUGGCUGCGGCUGGAUUUCCUCACACAUCCCAUUGCACGGCCUGCCUCACAGCUGCAAGUGCACCUUCUCCUGGGACUUAGGGGGUCAGGGCUGGGGGACAAUCCCCCACGCCCCCACCCAGGGCGAAGGUGACAAGACUUUGAGGGAUUUCACCCCAUUCACAGACAGGCAUGCAUUGCCCAGUCCCUGGUUAGUGGUCAGCAGUGGGGCCCCGCCAGGCUCUGAGGGCUGAGGUCUGGUGGGAAGCCUCAAGUGAGUUUGCUGCAACUGAUCUUUUGCUGCUUGACCGUUCCUCUCUGUCUCAGCCAUGUUUGACCGUGAGAACAAGGCCGGCGUGAACUUCAACGAGUUCACGGGUGUGUGGAAGUACAUCACGGACUGGCAGAACGUCUUCCGCACGUAUGACCGGGACAACUCCGGGAUGAUCGAUAAGAACGAGCUGAAGCAGGCCCUCUCAGGCUACCGGCUCUCUGACCAGUUCCACGACAUCCUCAUUCGAAAGUUUGACAGGCAGGGGCGGGGGCAGAUCGCCUUCGACGACUUCAUCCAGGGCUGCAUCGUCCUGCAGAGGUUGACGGAUAUAUUCAGACGUUACGACACGGAUCAGGACGGCUGGAUUCAGGUGUCGUACGAACAGUACCUGUCCAUGGUCUUCAGUAUCGUAUGACCCUGGCCUCUCGUGAAGAGCAGCACAACAUGGAAAGAGCCAAAAUGUCACAGUUCCUAUCUGUGAGGGAAUGGAGCACAGGUGCAGUUAGAUGCUGUUCUUCCUUUAGAUUUUGUCACGUGGGGACCCAGCUGUACAUAUGUGGAUAAGCUGAUUAAUGGUUUUGCAACUGUAAUAGUAGCUGUAUCGUUCUAAUGCAGACAUUGGAUUUGGUGACUGUCUCAUUGUGCCAUGAGGUAAAUGUAAUGUUUCAGGCAUUCUGCUUGCAAAAAAAUCUAUCAUGUGCUUUUCUAGAUGUCUCUGGUUCUAUAGUGCAAAUGCUUUUAUUAGCCAAUAGGAAUUUUAAAAUAACAUGGAACUUACACAAAAGGCUUUUCAUGUGCCUUACUUUUUUAAAAAGGAGUUUAUUGUAUUCAUUGGAAUAUGUGACGUAAGCAAUAAAGGGAAUGUUAGA
rnacentral:sRNA from 1 species